CUGGCCAAGCUGUAUCGUAUGCUGAUGAAGGAAGUGACGCACAUAAUCAGAGACAAUUUGAGAAUCUGCAGCCGAGCCAGACCGACAAACAUAGACGUUGUCAGUGAGCUUUGUAAUCUUGUCUGAUGCACGAUUAGCCACAUAGACACCGGUGCUGGUACGAGAAUCGGCACCGAGGACAACGCCGCCGUCGUAUGUGACGCCGAUGAUGGUGGUACCCAUGGAGUGAGGAGCAUUAAGAUCCAUGUUGAGAUCCAUGGCGGUGAGAAUCUAUUCCAGAGAAACUAGAGCGAUAUUCAAAUAAGGGAGUGAAAGGGGAGGAUUGCCGGAAAAUGUAAGAGCUGGAUUUUGGUGUUGGG
rnacentral:misc_RNA from 1 species